UACCAGCACCCCGAGUGGUCGGGACGAUUAUUGGGCCUAAAGCAUCCGUAGCCGGUUCUACAAGUCUUCCGUUAAAUCCACCUGCUCAACAGAUGGGCUGCGGAGGAUACUAUAGAGCUAGGAGGCGGGAGAGGCAAGCGGUACUUAGUGGGUAGGGGUAAAAUCCGUUGAUCCAUUGAAGACCACCAGUGGCGAAGGCGGCUUGCCAGAACGCACUCGACGGUGAGGGAUGAAAGCUGGGGGGGCAAACCGG
rnacentral:rRNA from 1 species